ACUCCUACGGGAGGCAGCAGUGGGGAAUAUUGCACAAUGGGCGCAAGCCUGAUGCAGCCAUGCCGCGUGUGUGAAGAAGGCCUUCGGGUUGUAAAGCACUUUCAGUAGGGAGGAAGGUAGUGUAGUUAACACCUGCAUUAUUUGACGUUACCUACAGAAGAAGCACCGGCUAACUCCGUGCCAGCAGCCGCGGUAAUACGGAGGGUGCGAGCGUUAAUCGGAAUUACUGGGCGUAAAGCGCAUGCAGGCGGCCUGUUAAGUCAGAUGUGAAAGCCCGGGGCUUAACCUCGGAAUUGCAUUUGAAACUGGCAGGCUAGAGUCUUGUAGAGGGGGGUAGAAUUUCAGGUGUAGCGGUGAAAUGCGUAGAGAUCUGAAGGAAUACCAGUGGCAAGGCGGCCCCCUGGACAAGACUGACGCUCAGAUGCGAAAGCUGGGGAGCAAACAGGAUUAGAUACCCUGGUA
rnacentral:rRNA from 1 species